rnacentral:lncRNA from 1 species
UGCUCUCCCUUCUCUCUUCUUUCUCUCUCAUCAUGUAAGCCUUUCAAGCUUUCAAGCUUUCCUACCCUCGUCUAUUGUAAGAUAUUUCUCCUUAUGUAUAAUAUAAAUAUGUUUUGAUUACCUCCUAUAUGGAUGAUUUUUAAUUAAGUUUUGUUUUCAUUUCAUUUUAUGCUCUUGUACCUCAUACAUGGAUGGUUCUAAUUAAGCUUUGUUUUUAAUUUUAUAUUUUUCAUUCUUGUACCGCCUAUCAUGGCUGGUUUUAAGCUUAUUAUGAACUAACAAGUUUUUUGGUUCCUUCUCUUUAAAUUUCUUGUUGGAUAUCUUUUGUAUUUUCUAACUCCUCUUCUUUGUUUUGAAUCAUGGCAUAAUUCCCGUUUUCAUUGCAUAUGACCUUGUCCUGGGUGUCUAUGGUAUCAGAGCCC